rnacentral:rRNA from 1 species
AUUGAACGCUGGCGGAAUGCUUUACACAUGCAAGUCGAACGGCAGCACGGACUUCGGUCUGGUGGCGAGUGGCGAACGGGUGAGUAAUGUAUCGGAACGUGCCCAGUCGCGGGGGAUAACGUAGUGAAAAUUACGCUAAUACCGCAUACGAUCUAUGGAUGAAAGCGGGGGAUCGCAAGACCUCGCGCGAUUGGAGAGGCCGAUAUCAGAUUAGGUAGUUGGUGGGGUAAAGGCCCACCAAGCCAACGAUCUGUAGCUGGUCUGAGAGGACGACCAGCCACACUGGAACUGAGACACGGUCCAGACUCCUACGGGAGGCAGCAGUGGGGAAUUUUGGACAAUGGGCGAAAGCCUGAUCCAGCCAUUCCGCGUGCAGGAUGAAGGCCCUCGGGUUGUAAACUGCUUUUGUACAGAACGAGAAGGUUUCUACUAAUACUAGGAGCUCAUGACGGUACUGUAAGAAUAAGCACCGGCUAACUACGUGCCAGCCGCCGCCGUAA